rnacentral:rRNA from 1 species
UACCAGCACCCCGAGUGGUCGGGACGUUUAUUGGGCCUAAAGCAUCCGUAGCCGGUUCUACAAGUCUUCCGUUAAAUCCAGCUGCUUAACAGGUGGGCUGCGGAAGAUACUAUAGAGCUAGGAGGCGGGAGAGGCAAGCGGUACUCGAUGGGUAGGGGUAAAAUCCGCUGAUCCAUUGAAGACCACCAGUGGCGAAGGCGGCUUGCCAGAACGCGCUCGACGGUGAGGGAUGAAAGCUGGGGGAGCAAACCGG